rnacentral:lncRNA from 10 species
AGCGCGGCCGCGGGGGGAGUCCGGUUCCUUGAAGGUCCUCCGUCCUGGAGCAGUAAGAUCCUUGACGUAACUAGAAAUGGCAGGACGGAGUCUCGCUCUGUCACCCAAGCUGGAAUGCCGUGGCGCAAUCUUAGUUCACUGCAACCUCUGCCUCCUCGGUCCAAGCCAUUCUCCUGCCUCAGCCUCCCGAAUAGGUGGGAUUGCAAUCACAUGCCACCAUGCCCAGUAUUUUUAUUGUAUCUUUUAUUUUUUUAUGGUAUUUUUAGUACAGACAGUUUCACCAUGGUGGCCAGGCUGUUCUCGAACUCCUGACCUCAUAAUCUCCCCGCCUCGACCUCCCAAAGUGCUGGGAUUAUAGGCGUGAGGCCCUGUGCCCAGCUGGCA